rnacentral:rRNA from 1 species
UACGGAGGGGGCUAGCGUUGUUCGGAAUUACUGGGCGUAAAGAGCGCGCAGGCGGCUGGUCAAGUCCGAUGUGAAAGCUCCCGGCUUAACUGGGAAAUUGCAUCGGAAACUGAUCGGCUGGAAGGUGGGAGAGGGUAGCGGAAUUCCCGGUGUAGUGGUGAAAUGCGUAGAUAUCGGGAGGAACACCAGUGGCGAAAGCGGCUACCUGGCCCAUUCUUGACGCUGAGGCGCGAAAGCUAGGGGAGCAAACGGG